rnacentral:antisense_RNA from 21 species
UUCUAUGGGCUGGCCAUGGCAGGAGCGUGCUUGCACGCGCCGGUCACCUUGAGUCCCGGUCCGCCAAUCCUGCCAUUGUGCCAGCCCACCC